rnacentral:rRNA from 1 species
UACGGAGGAUCCAAGCGUUAUCCGGAUUUAUUGGGUUUAAAGGGUGCGUAGGCGGCUUAUUAAGUCAGAGGUGAAAGACGGUGGCUCAACCAUCGCAGUGCCUUUGAUACUGAUGAGCUUGAAUAGACCUGAGGUAGGCGGAAUGUGACAAGUAGCGGUGAAAUGCAUAGAUAUGUCACAGAACACCAAUUGCGAAGGCAGCUUACUAAAGUCUGAUUGACGCUGAGGCACGAAAGCGUGGGGAUCAAACAGG